rnacentral:tRNA from 2 species
GCACUUGUAGCUCAGUUGGAUAGAGCAACGCCCUCCUAAGGCGGAGGCCGGAGGUUCGACUCCUCUCAGGUGCG